UUCCGGUUGAUCCUGCCGGAGGUCACUGCUAUUGGGAUUCGAUUAAGCCAUGCGAGUCGAGAGGGUUCGGCCCUCGGCUGACGGCUCAGUAACACGUGGAUAAUCUGCCCUUAGGUGGAGGAUAACCUCGGGAAACUGAGAAUAAUACUCCAUAGAUCUAGAAGGCUGGAAUGCAUCUAGAUUGAAAGUUCCGACGCCUAAGGAUGAGUCCGCGGACUAUCAGGUAGUAGUCAGGGUAAAGACCUGACUAGCCUACGACGGAUACGGGUUGUGAGAGCAAUAACCCGGAGACGAUAUCUGAGACACGAUAUCGGGCCCUACGGGGCGCAGCAGGCGCGAAAACUUCACACUGUGCGAAAGCACGAUGAGGGAAUCCCAAGUGCUGGUUCGAAAGAGUCAGCUGUUUCAUUGUCUAAAAAACAGAGAGAGUAAGAGCUGGGUAAGACGGGUGCCAGCCGCCGCGGUAAUACCUGCAGCUCGAGUGGUGGCCACUAUUAUUGGGCCUAAAACGUCCGUAGCCGGUUUAGUAAAUGCCUGGGUAAAUUGUGUAGCUUAACUAUACGAACUCCGGGUAGACUGCUAGACUAGAGAUCGGGAGAGGCUAGAGGUACUCCUGGGGUAGAGGUGAAAUUCUGUAAUCCUAGGGGGACCACCAGUGGCGAAGGCGUCUAGCUAGAACGAGUCUGACGGUGAGGGACGAAGCCCUGGGGCGCAAACCGGAUUAGAUACCCGGGUAGUCCAGGGUGUAAACGCUGCUUGCUUGAUGUUAGUUGGGCUCCGAGCCCAACUAGUGUCGGAGAGAAGUUGUUAAGCAAGCUGCCUGGGAAGUACGGUCGCAAGGCUGAAACUUAAAGGAAUUGACGGGGAGCACAGCAACGGGUGGAGCGUGCGGUUUAAUUGGAUUCACGCCGGA
rnacentral:rRNA from 1 species